UGAGUUUGAUCCUGGCUCAGAAUGAACGCUAGCGAUAAGCUUAACACAUGCAAGUUGAACGUCUCUUUUUGUUUUUUCUCAAUUUGAAAAAUUUAAAAAGGAGAAGUAGCGAACGGGUGAGUAACGCGUAAGAAUCUACCUCACAAACCAAGGAAAGAGAAAUCUGAAUCUUGGAUACUCAAAGUUAAAAGACGUUGUGAGAUGAGCUUGCGUAGGAUUAGGUAGUUGGUAGGGUAAAAGCCUCCCAAGCCGAAGAUCCUUAGCUGAUCUGAGAGGAUGAUCAGCCACAUUGGGACUGAGACACGGCCCAAACGCUUUCGAGCGGCAGCAGUGAGGAAUAUUGGACAAUGGGCGAAAGCCUGAUCCAGCUAUAUCGCGUGGGUGAUGAAGACUGUGUUGGUUGUAAAGCCCUUGACUCUUUGAAAGAUUAUGACAAACAAAGAGCAAAAAGUCCCGGCCAAUCUCGUGCCAGCAGCCGCGGUAAUACGAGAGGGGCGAGCGUUAUUCGGAAUGAUUGGGCGUAAAGCGCACGUAGGCGGUUUAGAAAAUCCAAAAUCGAGAAUCUCAAAGCUUUACUUUGAGAAGUAUUUUCUGCGAUUCCUAAACUUGAGUAAGUAAGAGGAGAAUGGAAUUCCUGGUGUAGAGGUAAAAUGUGUUGAUAUCAGGAGGAACAUCAAAAGCGAAGGCAAUUCUCUAGUACUCUACUGACGUUGAGGUGCGACAGCGUGGGGAUCAAAAGGGAUUAGAUACCCCUGUAGUCCACGCCGUCAACGAUGACCUUUCUAUAAAUAGCAAAAGCCGUCAUGAUUCAUGAUCCUUUUGACGUUUGUAUUAGCUAACGCGGUAAAUGGUCCGCCUGAGGAGUACGGUCGCAAGACUAAAACUCAAAGGAAUAGACGGGGGCUCACACAAGUGGUGGAACAUGUGGUUUAAUUCGAAACAACGCGCAAAACCUUACCAGUCCUUGACAUAAUCUUUCCAUAAUCUUUCCCUAAAAAAGAUAAUUUAAACUUUAGAGUUUAAAAUGAAGAUUACAGGUGUUGCAUGGCUGUCGUCAGUUCGUGUUGUGAAAUGUUGGAUUAAUUUCCUUAACGAACGAAACCCCUCUACUCAUUCACAAGUGUUAUGAAAAAUUUUUUUCAUAACACUUGAAAAUGAAUAUACAGCUGGUGAUAAACUAGAGGAAGGGAGGGAUCACGUCAAGUCCUCAUGACCCUUAUGGGCUGGGCUACACACGUGUUACAAUGGUAAGUACAAAGAGCAGCAAUGAUGAAAGUCGGAGCAAAUCUCAAAAAACUUACCCCAGUUCAGAUUGUUCUCUGCAACUCGAGAACAUGAAGCCGGAAUCACUAGUAAUCGUGGAUCAGCACGCCACGGUGAAUAUGUACCUGAGCCUUGUACUCCCCGCCCGUCACGGUCUCAGAGUUGAGUGCAUCAGAAGUAAUGUAUCGUCUUUCAAACACGUUAAGACUCUUUUUUUGUAAAAAAAAAGACAAGAUCUUGAAGAUCUUUUUUUACGUUUUAAAAGACGCAUUCCCAAGAUGUGUUUAGCGAUAGGAUCGAAGUCGUAACAAGGUAGCCGUAGGGGAACCUGCGGCUGGAUUUUUU
rnacentral:rRNA from 1 species